AUUGCUGGACUGUGCCCUCACGGGCGCAACCCCAGAUACCCUUUGUGAACUUAUACCUUUUAAUCGUUGCCUCGGCGCCGAGCCCGGGGAGGAAAACGAAGGAAGUUUCUUCUUUCUUUCGUGUUUUCCCCCUCCCCUCACCGUGCAGACGGUGCUGGAGCAGGCCCGCCGGCGGCCUACCAAACUCUCUGUUUUUAGAACGUACCUCUUCUGAGACUUAUAAACAAAAAAUGAAUCAAAACUUUCAACAACGGAUCUCUUGGUUCUGGCAUCGAUGAAGAACGCAGCGAAAUGCGAUAAGUAAUGUGAAUUGCAGAAUUCAGUGAAUCAUCGAAUCUUUGAACGCACAUUGCGCCCGCUGGAAUUCCAGCGGGCAUGCCUGUUCGAGCGUCAUUUCAACCCUCAAGCCUGGCUUGGUGUUGGGGCGCUACCCGUCAAACGGUAGGCCCUCAAAUUCAGUGGCGGGCUCGCUAAGAUUCUGAGCGUAGUAGUUUUAAAUCACCUCGCUCCGGAAGGAUUAGCGGUGCGCUUGCCGUAAAACCCCCCCUUCUCACUGAAAUUUUGACCUCGGAUCAGGUAGGAAUACCCGCUGAACUUAAGCAUAUCAAUAAGCGGAGGAAAAGAAACCAACAGGGAUUGCCCUAGUAACGGCGAGUGAAGCGGCAACAGCUCAAAUUUGAAAUCUGGCCUCGGCCCGAGUUGUAAUUUGCAGAGGAUGCUUCUGGCGCGGUGCCUUCCGAGUUCCCUGGAACGGGACGCCACAGAGGGUGAGAGCCCCGUAUGGUCGGACACCAAGCCUGUGUGAAGCUCCUUCGACGAGUCGAGUAGUUUGGGAAUGCUGCUCAAAAUGGGAGGUAAAUCUCUUCUAAAGCUAAAUACCGGCCAGAGACCGAUAGCGCACAAGUAGAGUGAUCGAAAGAUGAAAAGCACCUUGAAAAGGGGGUUAAACAGUACGUGAAAUUGUUGAAAGGGAAGCGCUUGUGACCAGACUUGCGCCGGGCGGUUCAUCCGGGGUUCUCCCCGGUGCACUCCGCCCGGUUCAGGCCAGCAUCGGUUUUCGUUGGGGGAUAAGAACGGCAGGAACGUGGCCCUCCUUCGGGCGGGUGUUAUAGCCUGCCGUACGAUACCCUGACGGGGACCGAGG
rnacentral:rRNA from 1 species